GACGAACGCUGGCGGCGUGCUUAACACAUGCAAGUCGAACGGUAAGGCCCCAGCUUGCUGGGGUACACGAGUGGCGAACGGGUGAGUAACACGUGGGUGACCUGCCCCGCACUUCGGGAUAAGCCUGGGAAACUGGGUCUAAUACCGGAUAGGACCGCACCGUGAGGGUGUGGUGGAAAGUUUUUCGGUGUGGGAUGGGCCCGCGGCCUAUCAGCUUGUUGGUGGGGUAAUGGCCUACCAAGGCGGCGACGGGUAGCCGGCCUGAGAGGGUGGACGGCCACAUUGGGACAGAGACACGGCCCAGACUCCUACGGGAGGCAGCAGUGGGGAAUAUUGCACAAUGGGCGGAAGCCUGAUGCAGCGACGCCGCGUGGGGGAUGACGGCCUUCGGGUUGUAAACUCCUUUCACCAUCGACGAAGGUUUUCUGACGGUAGAUGGAGAAGAAGCACCGGCUAACUACGUG
rnacentral:rRNA from 1 species